GGGAUCGUCAAGUCUUUCCAAAUGUUCCUUCUUGGUAUGGGUCACUAGAGAAAGGUAAUCUACAUACUGGAACAGAACCAUUAUUGGUUUAGAAAAUUGCGACAGUACCUGCCUAAUCUAAGCAGGAAAUAAUGCAGGGGAACUUUUGUACCCCUGGGUUAAAUGGUUCCAGAAAUUUUAGACCCCCUGAAAACUAAACACAAAUCAGUACUGGGAAAUGUGGGCCAGUAUAACAUCCAAAAGCUAUUGCUGAUGUUGAGGACAGUAAACCAUGUGGCCUCUGGAUCAAAGGACUUAAUGAGAUCUGGCAGCUUGGCCACCAUACGGGGCACAAGUAGGUGUGACCUGAUUUAGGCAUUUCUAAUCAAUGGUUAGAUGCCAAAAACCAUCUGGUUUCUUAACCGGCCAAAUAGGGGAAUUGGCGGUGGAAGUACAUCUAUGUAGAACUCCUUGUGUCAGUAAGGACUUAAUAGUCUUGUCUAUGUAUUCUUUGGCUUGAUCUGGGUAAGCAUAUUGUUUGGAGCUGGUACAUCUCCUCCCAUAACAAUAAUGACUGUCAUACCUCCACAGUCAAGUUUGUGUUUGGCAAAGGCAUCCGCAUGCUUGAAAAGUAAACUCUGUAAUUCGGGUUGGUCUACAUGCUCUGCCACUAUUUUGUUCAAGUUCUACCUCUAUGGUUCCAGUUCCUCUGCCAUAUUCAGGCAUGAUCACAGGCGGAUAAUUCAUUCCCUACUCUGUAGUAUGACACAAGAGGAAGUUACUCACCUCGUGCAGUAACAAUCAUUCUUUCAGAUGUGUCCUCCUUAGGAUGCACCACAGUAGAUUUUAGGUAGUAGUGUCCCUUUAGCAGGCUCAUGUGGUCGUCUCUCUCGUGAUCUGCCUUGAGGCUAUAUAGUACUGCGUGGGCAAUCCCCCUCGGUUUCUUCUCUACUUCAAAGCCCCUUAUGGAAAACUCUGAAGUAGAGGGGAGUAGGACAGGUUGAGGAGCACCCAUAGGGGGACACAUCUCAAGAACCAUUGUUACUGCACAAGGUAACUUCCUCCUCUUCUUCAAGUAGUGUUCCUAUGGGUGCUUCACUGUAGGUGAUUUCACAGCAGUAUUCCCCAUGGAGGGCUGGGGCUUUGGAGUGGAGUCUGUUACUAGGGAGUAACUUGAUUCUUGCUUGCAUAUAUAUACACACCUGCCUCUGGAAAUUUCCACUACAUGUAUCCGACAAAGUGGGUAUUCACCCAUGAAAGCUCAUGCUCCAAUACGUCUGUUAGUCUAUAAGGUGCCACAGGACUCUUUGCUGCUGUUACUAGAGAGAGUAUUGUGGAGCCAAAGACGACAUCAGAGGACGGAUCUCCAACGAUCGCAUAAUGUUCUGUGAAAGUGUGGGCAGAGGCCCAUGUCACUGCUCUGCAGAUUUCCAAGAUAGGGACAUCUUUAAGGAAUGCAACAGAAGUAGAAAUUGACCUCAUGGAAUGUGUACAGAUUCCAGAUGGAGGCAAAUGGUUGUGCCCUUCAUAACACUGAUUAAUGCAAACUGAGACUGACAUGUUCUGUACCUUGGGGGAACACCCUACACCUCCAUGUUCAUCCUUAUAAUAUGAUUGUGUAGUAUCCAAUGCAAAGUUUGUCAUGUCAGUUGUCUUCGGAAGGCUCAUGAUGUACUGAGCAUUGUUGUAAUGGCAAUUGUUGUUAUAGUAAUGUUAUAGGUUGUAAUUUCAUGUAUAUAAUUAUGAGGCUGCAAAUGUGUCCUCAUGGCUUAAAGCAAACCCAGGCAAAAAUUCUCCAAGAACAGAGAGGCAGUUCACACCUCAUCAGGGCUUUAAUGGAACCCAGUCAAGCCUCAGAGGAACAAAAGACACUGGCCUAGGCAGCAAAAAAGGAUCAGUUGGACUCUUGAAUGACUCAUCUCCCUUCCUUUGGUCAGUUUGGGACUGCGAUAAGAUAAUGCUCACCUGAGUCUGAAGGGGGCAAAGCCAAGAGGGAAGAUGGACAUGAUAAAAGGGAGAGAAGUUUGCCAUGCUUUUCCUCUCUCUUCCACCUCCAUCUACACACAUCACCACCAAGCAACUGAAGCUCUGAACAAAGGGGAGAGCCUGUCUUAAGGGCAACCAGCCAGCCGGUAAGUACAUCAAAUGAUCAACUUUAGUCUGUGCAGCAAUACGUCUUAUCAGCGGUGGAAGAUGCAGACGGGGUAAAGGCUCAGCCUGUCACUUUGAAAGUGCAUGUUGGGAAUGUGCCAAAGAGGAACCAGAGGAUAUAUUGCCAUCUGUGUCAGAAUCUUGGAUAGAAGAGGAGAGACAUACAAGGGGUCCCUGUUCCAUAGGAAGAUGAGAACAUCACCCAGUGAAUGUUUCCCCAGGUUAGCCCUGGAACAAUAGUGAGGACAUUUCUUCUUCCAGGUGGGGUCUCCAGAAGAAGUAUGGAUGGUAAGAGAAAGACACUGGCUGUGCUAUCUCCUAAUCCACUGCAGAGGGAGACAAACCUGGCUUAAAGGACUUGUGGAGAAAAAUGGCACUUGUUAACAUGGGUUCCAACUUAGAGCUUGUGUCAGGGCAAGAAGCCAAAGUGAAAUGCUCUGUUAAUCUAUAAAACAUAUAAGGCCUGGGCAACCUCAAAUUUUCCCCCAUCACUACAUUAAAGCGCCUCAGACUGACUUGAAGAAAUGGUGAGAGGAUACUGCAAUUCUACCCAAUCAGUCCAUGGCAUGCAUACAGAAAUUAUCAACAUGGGAGCUAACUACACCUCUACACGGAUAUAACGUGACCCGA